CGACGUGAGUAACCUGCCUCUAAGAGGGGAAUAACAUUCUGAAAAGAAUGCUAAUACCGCAUAACAUAUAUUUAUCGCAUGGUAGAUAUAUCAAAGAUUUAUCGCUUAGAGAUGGACUCGCGUCCGAUUAGUUAGUUGGUGAGGUAACGGCUCACCAAGACUGCGAUCGGUAGCCGGACUGAGAGGUUGAACGGCCACAUUGGGACUGAGACACGGCCCAA
rnacentral:rRNA from 1 species